CACGGGGGGAGCAAGCGUUGUUCGGAAUCACUGGGCGUAAAGGGCGUGUAGGCGGUCAAGUAAGUGGAAUGUGAAAGCCCCCGGCUUACCCGGGGAUCUGCAUCCCAAACUGCUUGGCUUGAGUACGGGAGAGGAUAGGGGAAUUCCUGGUGUAGCAGUGAAAUGCGUAGAUAUCAGGAGGAACACCGAUGGCGAAGGCAGGUCUCUGGGCUGAAACUGACGCUCAUGCACGAAAGCGUGGGGAGCAAACAGG
rnacentral:rRNA from 1 species